rnacentral:misc_RNA from 1 species
GGUGGAACCCGCUUCUGGGAAGCCAGUCAACCGAUUCGCAGUCACACAAAUUCCACGUGAGCGUUGUGGCCACUGUAUGUGGAUUCUCCAAAUGUCGAUGGAAAUCCGUAGAGUUUAUAGUCUUGAUUGACUGUUUUCUUGAGUGAUUUCUCGAAGAAAUAUUUGUUUUUUUUUUCUCGAAGGAUCAAAACGACUGUAUGUAUCCUCGAAGUAAGACUGUUGUCUUCUAGCUUGCAGGUUCAGAAUGACUGCGCAGCUUGUCAGCAGCAAGGCUGUAUUCUCGAAGGACCAAAAAACUGUAUGGUCCUGUCUGUGUGAAUCCUCGAAGAAAGACUGUUGUCUUGUAGAAAGUAAUCUCGAAGGACCAAAAAACUGUAUGGAACAGUCUAUGGUUGAGUGAGAGAUGACAUGUGAGGGAAGGUUACGAGGGAAACCAAACCCAAUGAAAGUCGAUCUAACACUAAAUUUAUUAAGAUUAUUUUGUGUAUAUAUAGGCAGAAGUACAGACGUCAUUUGACGUCAUUCGUAGCAAACAAAUAUCAAUUUCAUUAGAAAUCUGCAUAAGAAAAAUAACAAUUUCGUAAUAAAUCAGCUAAAUUAAAGA